GACUGUACAUUUAUUUCUGACGAUAUGUUUGUUACUUUUCUUGUUUUCAUUGGGUUAGUUGUGGCUGGAUCAUCAGCACAAAAAGUUCAGUAUGAUAUAAAGACACAGGCCACUUGUACACAGAUUGAACGGCCUGAAACGAGAGACUGUAGAUGGGUUGCAGGAUUAGAUAUGGCUGACUUGGUGAUCGAAAAGGGAAGAAUUAUCGCUUAUCAAAUCAAAUGGUUCAGUGGGAAAUGGUCACAUUGGUUUGUUCCGGGACUCAAUGACAUAAGCGACACUUAUAAUCCAAAAGGUCGCAGUUGCGCAUUGCCAUACCGAGAUAAUUCAAUGAGAAGACGAUGGGCAGUAUUUUAUGAUCACUAUCACAGAUUUAUAAUUUGUAAACCACAAGAAAAAUUAAUAAAUGGUAUAAUUGUGUAAUUAUUACUGCAAUACUUAGACAAUCUGGAUUAUUGCAUAUCUAAAUCUUGGUUUUUGUAUUUCCCUAUAUUAUUUGAAAAUUUGGAGUAAUUAUCAACAACUACAUUUUGUUGGGCUAAAAAUUGACCUUAUUGCGUUUCUACUACUAAAUAUGUGUACAAAUACUAAUUAUUAUACUUUAUAUAUACAAUAAAUAAUUAUAUUGGGUAAUAAUUCAUCAAUGGACGUGAAAACAUUAGGGUAAGUUCAUCUAAAUGCAAGGAAUGGUAAAUACCCUUUACAAUUUACAAAAUGCUUGCAAGUCAGUAUAACUUCCGAUCAAUGUUUAUUAAUCGAAUCACAGGUUUGGAAAUUCAGUAUGUACCAAAAAAGUUCUUAAUAGACUUUUCAAGGCCAUCAGUAUUUAAAUUUGCUGCACAAAAGGGCCUGUUGAGAAGGGAACAUAAAGGGUACUCCUUUCGAUAGAAAACUCCAAGGAAAAUGUUAACGAGACAAUCCUGAAAUAUUCAAAGUCUGAAAGAUGUGUUUAGCUGUCAAAUAUCGAAAAGUUAACAAAAAGUAAGACCAACAAAAAGUAAGACCGGUUUUAAAACACAACAUAAUGUUUUGGCGUCAGUGGUAUGACAAUCUGUUAAGGUACUUCGCUUUUAAGGUUCAUAUGGCUGUCUACUGUUUGUAUGGUAUAACAUAACAAUUGUGACCUUUCGAAGCGGUGAACAUUCAGAGGUGUCAGCGCUGCAAGAUUAUUUCCCUUGUGAUUGCGACAUCAGUGAAAUAAUCCUUUCGAUUUAUUUACCUGAUGGCUAUUAGGUUUUUUUAUUCAUCACUUCCUAGUGUCAUAAUUGUAUAAUAUUGAAUGUAGUAUGUGAACUAUUUUCGUCAAGUAUAUUCGUUUUAUUCCUUGUGCUAUGAACUUAAUAAUUUCAGUUUUGAACAACUUGUUUUUCCAUCUAAGAACGUUAUUUAUCGGGUUUUUUUUUAAUUUGGUUAAUUUUGGUCUGAGCUUGUUUUUUUUUUUUUUGGUACGUUUUUGUUAAUAUCAAUACCAAGUAUAUAGCCCAGAAAAAUUCGCAUUCUAUCUGUCCAUGUAACAGUCACCGGUCACUAUGAAUGAUUUAUUUAGAAAUAUCUUUUUAGCGCUUAAAAUGGCGAGUAUUUGAUAUAAGUAGGAGCCACAAAUUAUAACAGUUUGAUAUCAGACGGUGCUAGGUACAAAUGUAGUGAACAUAAUUUGAUAAGGGACUUUCCGUUAUGAAUUUUCCUUGAAGUUCGGUAUUUUUUUGUUAUUCAACUUUUUUCAGUUUAAUUUCCCUAACUAAUUUUUCGAUUGCCAUGACCUUUUAGCACAAUCCUUUAAAAAUGAAAACAACGCCUUAUUAAUUUCUAGCGUCCGAAGCGCUUUUCUUGAUUUACUUUCAUUAGGGGUACUCCUAGGGUAAGACAGGUAACUCUAAUACUUGUGAUUCAUCUUUCUCGAACAUGUUAAACUGCUCUUUUCGUGUUUUCCCAAAAUGACUAUUAUUUUGGUACUUUUUUUUUUUAAAUUCAGUAAGUUCAUUGAUAUCGAAACAAAAAAUAUAUGUUUUUCAAGUUAAACAAAAGAUUUGUAUCCAUAGAUUAAAAACUAUUGUAUGUGCUUUGGUGUGUUUUGAUCUUGACAAUAAUGAUUUAUUUGAUUUCGUCCAAAAAUAAAAUGCAAACUUUUCCAAUA